GACGAACGCUGGCGGCGUGCUUAACACAUGCAAGUCGAACGAAGAGCGAUGGAAGCUUGCUUCUAUCAAUCUUAGUGGCGAACGGGUGAGUAACGCGUAAUCAACCUGCCCUUCAGAGGGGGACAACAGUUGGAAACGACUGCUAAUACCGCAUACGAUCUAAUCUCGGCAUCGAGGAUGGAUGAAAGGUGGCCUCUAUUUAUAAGCUAUCACUGAAGGAGGGGAUUGCGUCUGAUUAGCUAGUUGGAGGGGUAACGGCCCACCAAGGCGAUGAUCAGUAGCCGGUCUGAGAGGAUGAACGGCCACAUUGGGACUGAGACACGGCCCAGACUCCUACGGGAGGCAGCAGUGGGGAAUCUUCCGCAAUGGACGAAAGUCUGACGGAGCAACGCCGCGUGAGUGAUGACGGCCUUCGGGUUGUAAAGCUCUGUUAAUCGGGACGAAAGGCCUUCUUGCGAAUAGUGAGAAGGAUGACGGUACCGGAAAUGAA
rnacentral:rRNA from 1 species